UCGAACGAGAGAGAAGGAGCUCGCUUCUUCGAUCGAGUGGCGAACGGGUGAGUAACGCGUGAGGAACCUGCCUCAAAGAGGGGGACAACAGUUGGAAACGACUGCUAAUACCGCAUAAGCCCACGGGUCGGCAUCGACCUGAGGGAAAAGGAGUGAUCCGCUUUGAGAUGGCCUCGCGUCCGAUUAGCUGGUUGGUGAGGUAACGGCCCACCAAGGCGACGAUCGGUAGCCGGACUGAGAGGUUGAACGGCCACAUUGGGACUGAGACACGGCCCAGACUCCUACGGGAGGCAGCAGUGGGGAAUAUUGCACAAUGGGGGAAACCCUGAUGCAGCGACGCCGCGUGGAGGAAGAAGGUCUUCGGAUUGUAAACUCCUGUUGUUGAGGAAGAUAAUGACGGUACUCAACAAGGAAGUGACGGCUAACUACGUGCCAGCAGCCGCGGUAAAACGUAGGUCACAAGCGUUGUCCGGAAUUACUGGGUGUAAAGGGAGCGCAGGCGGGAAGACAAGUUGGAAGUGAAAUCUAUGGGCUCAACCCAUAAACUGCUUUCAAAACUGUUUUUCUUGAGUAGUGCAGAGGUAGGCGGAAUUCCCGGUGUAGCGGUGGAAUGCGUAGAUAUCGGGAGGAACACCAGUG
rnacentral:rRNA from 1 species